rnacentral:rRNA from 1 species
UACGAAGAGGGCUAGCGUUGCUCGGAAUCACUGGGCGUAAAGCGCACGUAGGCGGAUUGUUAAGUCAGGGGUGAAAUCCUGGAGCUCAACUCCAGAACUGCCUUUGAUACUGGCGAUCUUGAGUCCGGGAGAGGUGAGUGGAACUGCGAGUGUAGAGGUGAAAUUCGUAGAUAUUCGCAAGAACACCAGUGGCGAAGGCGGCUCACUGGCCCGGUACUGACGCUGAGGUGCGAAAGCGUGGGGAGCAAAGCAGGAG